rnacentral:rRNA from 1 species
UGCGUAGGUGGCCAAAUUAGUCAGAGGUGAAAUCCUACAGCUUAACUGUAGAACUGCCUUUGAAACUGUUUGGCUAGAAUAGAGUUGAGGUUAGCGGAAUGUGACAUGUAGCGGUGAAAUGCAUAGAUAUGUCAUAGAACACCAAUUGCGAGGGCAGCUAACUGGGCUUUUAUUGACGCUGAGGCACGAAAGCGUGGGGAGCGAACAGGAUUAGAUACCCUGGUAGUCC